rnacentral:rRNA from 1 species
CACGUAGGGUGCGAGCGUUGUCCGGAAUUAUUGGGCGUAAAGCGCGUGUAGGCGGCUUUGCAAGUCGGGUGUGAAAGCCCUCAGCUCAACUGAGGAAGUGCGCCCGAAACUGCAGAGCUUGAGUACCGGAGAGGAUGGUGGAAUUCCCCAAGUAGAGGUGAAAUUCGUAGAUAUGGGGAGGAACACCGGUGGCGAAGGCGACCAUCUGGACGGAUACUGACGCUGAGACGCGAAAGCGUGGGUAGCAAACAGG